rnacentral:rRNA from 1 species
AUUGAACGCUGGCGGCAGGCCUAACACAUGCAAGUCGAGCGAGCGGCGGACGGGUGAGUAAUGCCUGGGAAUUGCCCAGUCGAGGGGGAUAACAGUUGCAAACGACUGCUAAUACCGCAUACGAUUGGAUUGCCCAGGUGGGAUUAGCUAGUUGGUGAGGUAAUGGCUCACCAAGGCGACGAUCCCUAGCUGGUCUGAGAGGAUGAUAAGCAACACGUGAACUUAUACACGGUCCAGACUCUGAAGGGAGGCAGGAGUGGGGAAUAUUGCACAAAGGGGGAAACCCUGAUGAAGCCAUGCCGGGGGUGUGAAGAAGGCCUUCGGGUUUUAAAGCACUUUCAGCGAGGAGGCGGUACUCGCAGGAGAAGGACCGGCUAACUCCGUGGCAGCAGGCGGGGGAAUAC